rnacentral:lncRNA from 1 species
CAGGAAGGGCUCUCUUUUCCCCUCCGCUCCUGCUCCAGCGGCACGAUGUGAUACACAGCAAGGAGGGGCGCCAAUAAGGCAUCUGAUAAGAUUCAGUUCUUUUACCUGUGGAGGCCUGACUAUUGCAACACCAUUUGUUGAAAGGUGAUCUUUGAUCUGCUGUGUUGCCUUUGAUUCCCCACCAAAGAUCAGUGGACUGGAUUUUGGAAUUUGAGAAUUACUGAAAGACCCCCGAAGAGGUACUUUCGUAGAGGGAGACCCGCACCCAGGAAUCAGCGAGACCACGAACUUGGAUGCAAACUGCAAGAGGCUUUAUUGGAGAUACGGGUACCCGGGCGACUUAGCUUCUGUGAGGCCAAGCGCGCCGAGCCAAGGGAAAGGGGUCCUUAUAUAGGGAAAAAGGCGCAAGCUAGAAGCAGGGAUUCUAUUGGAUAAUUCUAAUGAGGCAUUGUACAGAGCUAUUCCCAUUGGUCA